CCCCCGCCGGGCUCUGCAGCCGUGCCACCUGCACAGACCUCCACUGUGCCUCUGACUCAGUGAGGCUGGGAAACCUGAUGAACAUAACUACCACUCAGACACAGCUCUGGAAAACUGGAAACUUAGAAAACAAUGAACUGCUGCUACAAACAAACCACAAUUGGCGAAGAAUACACUUAAAGCAUCUAUGGUCAAAACAUCUGGAAGAGUCUAUUUGAAGAUGGAGUAUGUGGAGAUUACACAGUGUAAGUGGUGUGUCCUGGAGAAGAAGAAGAACAAGAGAGAUGCUGAAAGCGCAGCAGUGUGUCUGACCUGAGGGAAGAAUGAUUCCUGGGAACAAUGACCGGACGCUCAGCAGAUACUACUGUUUCUUCUGUAGAGCAUCCCAAGGUGAGAGAAGAUGAGAUAUGAAAACUCUCCAACUGG
ensembl:lncRNA